UUCUGGUGAAGAAACGUGCAAAAUUGAAAACAUCUUCAUCUGGUCAAUGUGGCUAAGCAUCAAGAAUCAUCAUCAGUCCUUCCCAUGAACGAGAACUCGAGGUAAUUUAAAAUGGGGUAUAGAGAAACCUUUUGCUGAGUUCCAGUUAGAACAUUAAGCGGACCUUCUCAAAUUCUGGCGAAGAAACGUGCAAAAUUGAAAACAUCUUUAUCUGGUCCAACUAAACAUCACGAGUCAUCACUCCUUUUAAUGAGCGAGAACUUGAGUUUUGGUGUUAAGCCGCCCGCUUCAAGUUUUUGUGAAGAAACAUAGAAAAUUGAACAUCUUCAUCUGGUUAAUGUAACUAAGAAUCUAGAAUCAUCAUUCCUUCCUAUGAGCGAGAACUCAAGGUAACUUAAAUGGGUAUAGACAAACCUUCUGUUGAGUUACAGUUAGAACGUUAAGCGGACCGCCUCAGAUCUUCAUGAGGGAACAUACAAAAUUGAAAUCAUCUGCAUCUAGCCAAUGUGACUAAGCAUCAAGAACAAUCAUUCCUUCCUAUGAACAAGAACUCGAGGUAACUUAAAUGAGUAUAGAGAAACCUUCUGUUGAGUUCCAGUCGGAAGGUUAGCGGACCGCUUCAGAUUCUGGUGAAGAAACGUGCAAAAUUGAAAACAUCUUUAUCUGGUACAUGUGAUUAAGCAUCAAGAAUCAUCAUUCCUUCCUAUGAACGAGAACUCGAGGUAACUUAAGUGGGUAUAGAGAAACCUUCUGUUGAGUUCCAGUUACAAUGUUAAGCGGACCGCCUCAGAUUUUCAUGAAGGAACAUACAAAAUUGAAAGCAUCUGCAUCUAGCCAAUGUGACUAAGCAUUAAGAACAACCAUUCCUUCCUAUGAACGAGAACUCGAGGUAACUUAAAUGGGUAUAGAAAAACCUUUUGUUGAGUUCCAGUAGGAAUGUUAAGCGGACCGCCUCAGAUAGAUCUUCAUUAAGGAACAUACAAAAUUGAAAGCAUCUGUAUCUAGUCAACGUGACUAAGCAUUAAGAACAAUCAUUUCUUCCUAUGAACGAGAACUCGAGGUGACUUAAAUGGAUAUAGAGAAACCUUCUAUUGGGUUCCAGUUAGAAUGUUAAGCAGACCGCCUCUGAUUUUGACGAAGGAACCUACAAACUUGAAAGCAUCAUCUGGCCAAAGCGAUUAAACAUCAAGAAUCAUCAUUCCUUCCUAUGAACGAGAACUUGAGGUAAUUCAAAUGGGUAUAGAGAAAUCUUCUGUUGAGUUCCAGUUACAAUGUUAAGCGGACCGCCUCAGAUUUUCAUGAAGGAACAUACAAAAUUGAAAGCAUCUGCAUCUAGCCAAUGUGACUAAGCAUUAAGAACAACCAUUCCUUCCUAUGAACGAGAACUCGAGGUAACUUAAAUGGGUAUAGAAAAACCUUUUGUUGAGUUCCAGUAGGAAUGUUAAGCGGACCGCCUCAGAUAGAUCUUCAUUAAGGAACAUACAAAAUUGAAAGCAUCUGUAUCUAGUCAACGUGACUAAGCAUUAAGAACAAUCAUUUCUUCCUAUGAACGAGAACUCGAGGUAACUUAAAUGGGUAUAGAAAAACCUUUUGUUGAGUUCCAGUAGGAAUGUUAAGCGGACCGCCUCAGAUAGAUCUUCAUGAAGGAACAUACAAAAUUGAAAGCAUCUGUAUCUAGUCAACGUGACUAAGCAUCAAGAACAAUCAUUCCUUCCUAUGAACGAGAACUCGAGGUAACUUAAAUGGAUAUAGAGAAUCGUUCUAUUGGGUUCCAGUUAGAAUGUUAAGCGGACCGCCUCUGAUUUUGACGAAGGAACCUACAAACUUGAAAGCAUCAUCUGGCCAAAGCGAUUAAACAUCAAGAAUCAUCAUUCCUUCCUAUGAACGAGAACUUGAGGUAAUUCAAAUGGGUAUAGAGAAACCUUCUGUUGAGUUCCAGUUACAAUGUUAAGCGGACCGCCUGGGAUUUUCAUGAAGGAACAUACAAUAUUGAAAGCAUCUUUCUCUAGCCAAUGUGACUAAGCAUCAAGAUCAAUCAUUCCUUCCUAUGAACGAGAACUCGAGGUAACUUAAAUGGGUAUAGAAAAACCUUUUUGUUGAGUUCCAGUCGGAAUGUUAAACGGACCGCUUCAGAUUCUGGUGAAGAAACGUCCAAAAUUGAAAACAUCUUUAUCUGGUCCAUGUGAUUAAGCAUCAAAAAUCGUCAUUCCUUCCUAUGAGCGAGAACCCGAGGUAAUUUAAACGGGUAUAGAGAAAUCUUCUGUUGAGUUCCAGUUAGACUGUUAAGCUGACCACCUCAGACUUUGAUGAAAGAACAUUCAAAAUUGAAAACAUAUUCAUCUGGUUAAUGUGACUAAGAAUCAAGAAUCAUCCUUCCUUCCUAUGAACGAGGACUUGAGGUAAUUCAAAUGGGUAUAGAGAAACCUUUUGUUGAGUUCCAGUCGGAAUGUUAAGCGGACUACUUCAGAUUCUGGUGAAGAAACGUGCAAAAUUGAAAACAUCUUUAUCUGGUCCAUGUGAUUAAGCAUCAAGAAUCAUCAUUCCUUCCUAUGAGCGAGAACCCGAGGUAAUUUAAACGGGUAUAGAGAAAUCUUCUGUUGAGUUCCAGUUAGACUGUUAAGCUGACCACCUCAGACUUUGAUGAAAGAACAUUCAAAAUUGAAAACAUCUUCAUCUGGUUAAUGUGACUAAGAAUCAAGAAUCAUCCUUCCUUCCUAUGAACGAGGACUUGAGGUAAUUCAAAUGGGUAUAGAGAAACCUUUUGUUGAGUUCCAGUCGGAAUGUUAAGCGGACUACUUCAGAUUCUGGUGAAGAAACGUGCAAAAUUGAAAACAUCUUUAUCUGGUCCAUGUGAUUAAGCAUCAAGAAUCAUCAUUCCUUCCUAUGAGCGAGAACCCGAGGUAAUUUAAACAGGUUUAGAGAAAUCUUCUGUUGAGUUCCAGUUAGACUGUUAAGCGGACCACCUCAGACUUUGAUGAAGGAACAUACAAAUUUGGAAGCAUCUUCAUCUGGUUAAUGUGACUAAGAAUCAAGAAUCAUCCUUCCUUCCUAUGAACGAGGACUUGAGGUAAUUCAAAUGGGUAUAGAGAAACCUUUUGUUGAAUUCCAGUCGGAAUGUUAAGCGGACUACUUCAGAUUCUGGUGAAGAAACGUGCAAAAUUGAAAACAUCUUUAUCUGGUCCAUGUGAUUAAGCAUCAAGAAUCAUCAUUCCUUCUUAUGAGCGAGAACCCGAGGUAAUUUAAACGGGUAUAAAAAAACCUUAUGUUGAAUUCCAGUUGGAAUGUUAAAUGGACCACCUCAGACAUUGAUGAAGGAACAUACAAAAUUGAAAGCAUCUUCAUCUGGCCAAUGUGACUAAAUAUCAACAAUCAUCAUUCCUUCCUAUGAACGAGAACUCGUGAAAAUUCAAAUGGGUAUAGAGAAAUCUUCUGUUGAGUACCAUUUAGAAUGUUAAUCGGACCACCUCAGACUUUGAUGAAGGAACAUACAAAAUUGAAAGCAUCUUCAUCUGGUUAAUGUGACUAAACAUCAAGAAUAAUCAUUCAUUCGUAUGAGCGAGAAUUAGGGGUAAUUUAAAUGGGUAUAGAGAAACCUUUUGUUGAGUUCUAGUUAGGAUGUUAGUCGUGCCGCUUCAGAUUUUGGUGGAGAAACUGGUACAAAAUUGAAAACAUCAUCUGUUCAAGAUCAACAUCAAGAAUAAUCAUUCGUACCACUGAUCGGGAUUUCUAGGUAAUUAAAAUGGGCAUAGAACAACUUUUUGUUGGGUUUCAGUAAACUGAAUAUAUUUGAAGCAGACUCAUUAACCAACUGGUUGUAAUUACUGUUCCGUUUGUGACAUUAAACAACCAUCAAACCAACCGUAGCCUCCAAACUAUAAUAGUAAAUUGUGUUGCUAUUUAUUGGACUUUCAUAUUGGGAACUAUCUGACAGAACUCCUGAAGACAAGUUAAAAAUAUACAUAAUUUUUACUAUUUCCUAAAAUUACUUUUAUUAGGAUGUUAAACGGACCGCGUCAGAUGUAGUUGAUAAACUGAUAAAUAAUUAAAAACAUCUUUAUUUGAACACUGUUAUUAAGAAUGUGUGAUAUCAUCAAAUUGAAGAUUUCGGCAAGUAUACUUAAAAAAAAUCAUCAUUUCUUCCAAUGAACGAGAACUCCAGGUAAUUGAAAUGAGCACAGCAACCUUUGUUGAGUUCUAGUUAGGAUCUUGGGCGCUGCAGAUAUUGAUAGAGAAACGGAAGCAAACAUGAAGACAUCUUUGUUUGAUUACUGUCACCAAACAUUAAGAGAAUCAUCAUUCUUUCCACUAAGCGAGAAGACCAGGUAAUUAAAAUUAGUAUAGAACAAACAACCUUUUGUUGGGUUCCAGUUCAAUUCUGUUAUGACUUCAAUUCCAAAUCAACUAAGUGUAUUUAAACCCCAGACUCAUUGUAAACCUCAAAAGAAGGCAUAUAUGGGAGAUUUGAUAUCACAUCAGCAUACAGGAGAAUGCGUAAAGAGGAAGUAAUUAUAAUUUUGUGGAAGGUCGCAAUAAAAAUUAAUAAUGUGUAAUAUUGGGUAACGUACAGAAAUAAAUAUUCCACAGUUUACAAUAAUAUUUUGCAUAACCACCUCUACUUGAAAAAGUAAAGGUAUUAAUCCAAACAAAAAUGAGAUAUUUAGAAUGAAAUGAAUGAAUGAUAUAUCUGCAAAUUAAUUGCUUAAAGCAACGAAAAAUAGAAUGUACUUUUCAACCUUAAUUAAUGGGAUAAGUAUGUAUAAACAAAAUGUACAAAUAAGCCAAUAUUUACAAGGAACAUUAUGUAGACAAAAUAUGUUUUGAUCAGAACUCUAAGGACAAAGAGCAGAUGAAUGAUUCAGGUUAAAUUCGUAAAAUGAAACCUGUUCACGUAGAAUUAAAAAAAAAUAAAUAUCAUUAAAAAUAUUCUUACAUAUACCUUUUAGAAGACUUGAUAGAUGAUUACCUUAAUUUUAAUAUAAUUGUUUCUUUAAUUAAGGAUGCAUGCCUGCUGAAUUGAGUAGGUGGGGGAGCACUUGAUUAGAGAAACACUUGAUUAUUAGGGAUUAAUUAUCAAGGUACUCAUUUUAAGGGUUCUUGAUGUCCAACUAUUGGAUGGACUUGAUUGAAAUUGCCAACCGUCCGAGAAAAAAUCUUUGUCCAAAUUGUGAUCAUGGAGAAAUAAAUUGAUCAAAUCAACAUCUUUAAGAAUCGUCGAGAAAUUUUUAGAUUUUGGUUCCAGAAGAAAUUUGAAAGUUAGCAAUAAGUUUGCAAAAGUUUGUAAUUGAUUAUAUCUUACAAAAUGUAUAAUCAAAUAAUACACAUAUAUGUUUAUAUGAGAAUAAUGUUGUAUAAUUUCUUUAAUAAAAUAUUUCAUAACAAAUGAAAA